rnacentral:misc_RNA from 1 species
UAUUUAUCUUGUGAAUCUCUUACAGAGUGGAGCUAAAAGCUGAAAGCAAAGAAAAAAAAAACAAAACUAAAGAAAUAAAACACGAAUGAACUUUUUUUCCUCUGUGCCGUUAAAUACGUAAAAAAUAAAAGAAAAACAUAUUUAAUAAUAAUAUAACAAGUAAAAUAAAAACAAAACUAACUAACGGCUUUAAAAGUGAAGAGUAAGAAGAGACAAAUAAAAUAAAAAAACAAAAAAAGUGUGUGAUUUAUAAAAUUUAACACAAACUUAUAAACAAGUGACCAGAUUUAAAGUGCAGUGCAUUUAUUUAAAGAAACCGAAAAAAAAGGAAUUUAAUUAAUCAUUAAACUUAUUAAUAUAUUGAAUAUUUUUUAAAACAAAAAAAAUCGUGUUGCACGCAAAAUAAGACAAUAAAUAGAAAAUAAUUAGGAAAAGCUAGUGAAAGUUAAUUUUUUUCUCUAUUUUUUAAAGAAAAAUACACGCACGUGAAAAUUUUAGAAAAAAAAUCUUUUGUUAAAAAAUUUUUUUGAAUAACGAGCAACAAUUUCGAAAAAGUCUCACAACGGCAGCCAAAACUAUAAAUAUGAAUCGUUCAAAUAGUUUUGUCUCCGCUUUAAAAUGGUGGCCUUUACAGGGUCAUUUAAAUCAAACACAUAAUAAUGGCAAUACAGGUGAUGGUGGCGGCGGCGGCGGUGGUGGCACCGUUAAUGUGGGCCACCAUCAAAACCCUUCACACAACUCUAGCAGUGGUGGUGGUCUGGGUUUUCGCGGUCUUAUACCAUUCAAUAGGACAUCGACAGCUCAAACAUUCGGCAGUUCGGUGGCUGUACAAAAAUUACGUGAAUCCAAAUGGUUUAAACCUGAUGAACAACGUAUCUUUUGUGCUGUAGUCGAGUGCGGUUUCAUUGUUGAAGUACGCAGUAGUGCAGCUGUGGCCAGGAAAUUAGCACAACAACAGCAGCGUAGACGUCAACGCCUGUUGUCUCUAACGAAUAAGACACGACAACAAAAUAACAGCGGAAGCAGCAGUAGCAGUUCGAACGACAGUUAUGAACACGAAGACGUUGAGGAAUUUUGCAAACAUCAUCAAACAAGUGUUCAAAUGUUAUUGUCUUCGAAUGGUUCAUAUCGUAAUAAUCACAAUCAUAAUCAUCAUCAUGAUGUUGUUGACGACAAUUAUGAUGUUGAUGAUGACGAUGACGAUGAUUUGGAUUCACAAGAUGAAAAUAAUACCCCAAUUACCACCUGGUUUGGUGUGGUGCUGUGUAAAACUAAUAAAGAUAAUAAACCAAAACCCGAAACAAUUGAAAUAUUUUCUGUGAAAAUACGUGAGAAUGGCACCUUUAAAAUGAUAAAAAUGUCACUGGAUGACAUUUGGAAUAAUGAUUGGGAAUUGCGUAUUAAUAAUUUUGCUGAUAAAGAAAAACCGCCACACAAUGAGAAGGAUAUAAGAAAUCAGCCUUCUCUCCCUCUCUCUCACACUCACAUUCUUCUUUCAACAACAACAAGGAAACUAAAGAAACUCUUGCAACACAACAGGAUAAAUAUUGAAUAUUAAUAAAAUUAAAUAUUUAACCUUAAACCAUUCUAAUAAUGAACCUUUUUACUAGGAUCACUAAUUAGAAGAGGAGCCUAAACACUAAAUGAAAGCGAUAAACAAGGCAUAACGUUUUCUAAAAAAUAAAAUGCAAUGCAAUUAAGCGCUUUAAUAUGGGUGUAGGCUAAAAAGAUACUUUUUUUUAUAUCCUUUGCACGCAAAGCCAAACAAAGCUUGUGGAAUAAUAAUAAGCACUUUGUGUAUUGGUGUCGCUACGGUAGUCGUCAACAGGAUGUCAGAAAACGUCAG